rnacentral:rRNA from 1 species
GACGAACGCUGGCGGCGUGCUUAACACAUGCAAGUCGAACGGAAAGGCCUUUUCGGAGGUACUCGAGUGGCGAACGGGUGAGUAACACGUGGGUGAUCUGCCCUGCACUCUGGGAUAAGCCUGGGAAACUGGGUCUAAUACCGGAUAGGACCGCACUUUAGUGUGUGUGGUGGAAAGUUUUUUCGGUGUAGGAUGAGCCCGCGGCCUAUCAGCUUGUUGGUGGGGUAAUGGCCUACCAAGGCGGCGACGGGUAGCCGGACUGAGAGGUUGGUCGGCCACAUUGGGACUGAGGUACGGCCCAGACUCCUACGGGAGGCAGCAGUGGGGAAUAUUGCACAAUGGGCGCAAGCCGGGUGCAGCGACGCCGCGUGGGGGAAGACGGCCUUCGGGUUGUAAACUCCUUUCGCCAGGGACGAAGCGUUUUGUGACGGUACCUGGAGAAGAAGCACCGGCUAACUACGUG